rnacentral:rRNA from 1 species
CAGUAGCCGCGGGAAAACGUAGGUGGCAAGCGUUGUCCGGAAUUAUUGGGCGUAAAGGGCUCGCAGGCGGUUUCUUAAGUCUGAUGUGAAAGCCCCCGGCUCAACCGGGGAGGGUCAUUGGAAACUGGGAAACUUGAGUGCAGAAGAGGAGAGUGGAAUUCCACGUGUAGCGGUGAAAUGCGUAGAGAUGUGGAGGAACACCAGUGGCGAAGGCGACUCUCUGGUCUGUAACUGACGCUGAGGAACGAAAGCGUGGGGAGCGAACAGGAUUAGAUACCCGUGUAGUCCCUGUCUCUUAUAA